rnacentral:misc_RNA from 1 species
GAAGCAUCCUAGCGCCGAUUAGGUUUCCACCUUCUCAUCCCGGAGAUCCGAAGACGUUAACCAUGGCGGAUGUGGAAGCCGAUGUUCCAGUGGCUGGACAACAGCCAAAGAAGAGGACCUUCAAGAAGUUUAGCUUCCGUGGUGUCGAUUUGGAUGCUUUGCUCGACAUGUCCACCGAUGAGCUCGUCAAGCUCUUCACUGCCCGUGCACGCAGAAGGUUUCGUAGGGGUUUGACAAGGAAGCCAAUGGCCCUUAUCAAGAAGCUCCGCAAAGCGAAAAGGGAAGCACCUCCUGGCGAGAAGCCAGAGCCCGUCCGAACUCACCUUCGGAAUAUGAUCAUCGUGCCAGAGAUGAUUGGAAGCAUUAUUGGUGUUUACAACGGGAAGACCUUCAACCAAGUUGAAAUCAAGCCAGAGAUGAUAGGCCAUUACCUAGCAGAGUUCUCCAUUUCAUACAAGCCUGUGAAGCAUGGAAGGCCCGGUAUUGGUGCCACCCACUCUUCAAGGUUCAUUCCUCUCAAGUGAAAAUCAGAGUCAACUUCUUGCUUUCUUAGUUUUGUUAUAUUGUUACAAGAAACAUGGAUGUCGAUCAGAUUUUGUUCUUAGUUUUUUCCCAUUUUUCUAUGCUUGAUAUCUGAUUAGUACGAUGGAGGCUGGAGCUAUUUAGUUUUUGGAAUCUUGUGUUACUGUUCAAAUUUUUAUUCUACUUGUUUC